UGCCCCAUCUACCCACUCAUUUUCCCGCGAGAUCCAGUCGCGCGCGAAAAAUCGCGCCUCACCGGCCGGUUUGUGAUCACGCGGUUCCAGGGGUUUCGGGAAAUUUGCAAAAGCAUCGCCUUGAAGUUUUGAUCGAUUAGAUAAAAAAAUAUACGAGGAGAAAAAUUAAAUACUUGAAACAAUAGACGUGCGAGGUAAUUUUCUCUUGGGUUAUGAUGCAUUUUUUUUACGAGUUUUCAAAAUUAUAGCAUGAUCAUGUUGAAUGACUCCUGCCCUGAUUAGUUAUGUGUUUUUGCGUCAUAAAAUGAAUAAUGUCGUUUUACCGAGUGAGAUCGAGGUGGUAAGUGUUCGUGUCGGAAUCCAGGGCCGAAUCGAGUUGGUUUAGACAAAAAAAUUGCCCAAAUUUAGUGAAAGGUAUGGGAGGAUGGUACUUAACAGUGGGGGAGAGUGUGGUAUCUCCUCGAAAUGCUGACAAACGGUUCGGCGGACAAUAUCCUCGCGAGAGAGAAAAUGCCAGAUAGAUGAAAGAGAGAUAGGCUUGCAAGCGCCACACUUAGCUACCUUGCUGGUAUGAGCUCGAUGAGCGAAGGGGAGGAUGCUUUACCUCCCGAAGGGUACGUGGCGGCGGCCGUUGUUCUCUUCUUAAUCGGUUUCUUCGGAAUCAGCUCCAACUUAAUCGUCAUCAUCCUCUUUCUUCGUGAAAAAC